rnacentral:rRNA from 1 species
AUUGAACGCUGGCGGCAUGCUUUACACAUGCAAGUCGAACGGCAGCACGGGUGCUUGCACCUGGUGGCGAGUGGCGGACGGGUGAGUAAUGCAUCGGAACGUGUCCUGAAGUGGGGGAUAACGCAUCGAAAGAUGUGCUAAUACCGCAUAUUCUCUGAGGAGGAAAGUAGGGGAUCGAAAGACCUUAUGCUUUUGGAGCGGCCGAUGUCUGAUUAGCUAGUUGGUAGGGUAAUGGCUUACCAAGGCGACGAUCAGUAGUUGGUCUGAGAGGACGACCAGCCACACUGGGACUGAGACACGGCCUAGACUCCUACGGGAGGCAGCAGUGGGGAAUUUUGGACAAUGGGCGCAAGCCUGAUCCAGCAAUGCCGCGUGAGUGAAGAAGGCCU